UAGGGAAUCUUCCACAAUGGACGCAAGUCUGAUGGAGCAACGCCGCGUGAGUGAAGAAGGUUUUCGGACCGUAAAGCUCUGUUGUUGGUGAAGAAGGAUAGAGGUAGUAACUGGCCUUUAUUUGACGGUAAUCAACCAGAAAGUCACGGCUAACUACGUGCCAGCAGCCGCGGUAAUACGUAGGUGGCAAGCGUUGUCCGGAUUUAUUGGGCGUAAAGCGAGCGCAGGCGGAAGAAUAAGUCUGAUGUGAAAGCCCUCGGCUUAACCGAGGAAUUGCAUCGGAAACUGUUUUCUUGAGUGCAGAAGAGGAGAGUAGAACUCCAUGUGUAGCGGUGGAAUGCGUAGAUAUAUGGAAGAAUACCAGUGGCGAAGGCGGCUCUCUGGUCUGCAACUGACGCUGAGGCUCGAAAGCAUGGGUAGCGAACAGGAUUAGAUACCCUGGUAGUCCAUGCCGUAAACGAUGAGUGCUAAGUGUUGGGAGGCUUCCGCCUCUCAGUGCUGCAGCUAACGCAUUAAGCACUCCGCCUGGGGGAGUACGACCGCAAGGUUGGAAC
rnacentral:rRNA from 1 species